rnacentral:rRNA from 1 species
GACGAACGCUGGCGGCGUGCUUAACACAUGCAAGUCGAACGGGUCUGCCCUGUUUUUUGCGGGGUGGGUCAGUGGCGAACGGGUGAGUAACACGUGAGUAACCUGCCCCUCACUUCUGGAUAACCGCUUGAAAGGGUGGCUAAUACGGGGUGUUCUGGCUGUGCCGCAUGGUGUGGCUGGGAAAGAUUCACUUUUGUGGUGUUUUGGUGGGGGAUGGGCUCGCGGCCUAUCAGCUUGUUGGUGGGGUGAUGGCCUGCCAAGGCUUUGACGGGUAGCCGGCAUGAGAGGGUGGGCGGUCACACUGGGACUGAGAUACGGCCCAGACUCAUGCGGGAGGCAGCAGUGGGGGGUAUUGCACAAUGGGCGGAAGCCUGAUGCAGCGACGUCGCGUGAGGGAUGGAGGCCUGCGGGUUGUGAACCUCUUUCGCCGGUGAAGAAGGUCCUGCUCUUUGGGGUGGGGUUGACGGUAGCCGGGUUAUGAAGCGCCGGCUAACUACGUG